UCUGAGGAGAAGGUGGCAGGGCGGCUCCCUCUCCUCCCCGGCCGCCUCGCAGGCCUCGCCCGCCGCCCUUCUCCUCACGCCUCACCCUUUCCCGGCCUCCCCUCCUUAGCCACCCCACGGGGAGGCAUCGCUGGGGCCCGGGGACCCUCCCUGCCUGCAGGGCCAGGGCCUCCCUCGCCACCCGCCAUGGCCCUUCUGUGUCCCUGCCUCUCCCCAUGUCGCCAAGGCCUGGCCGCCUCCUGAGGCAGGGGACGAGGCGAGGAUGGUCCAGCAGGGAGAGGAGAGGGGAUCCAUCCCUGAAGGGCAGCGGAUGGACAUUUUGCCACGGCGGUGAGGAAGGAAGGGAGCCCUCGGUGCUGCUGGAGCCCGUCCCCAUGGGGACCUGCAUCUACUGCAGAGGUUGCCAGUCAGCAUCCCGGACACGUGCCCUGCUGAAUCAGAUGCCCCAGAUGCCUGGUGGAGGGGUAGGAUUACCCAAAAGGAGACACGGGAUUCAUCUGCAAGCUUGCAAAACCAGCAGGAUGGAGGGAAACGUCCAAAAAUAAUGCCGCUGGGAUGUUGAAUAUGCUGCGGAUCGAGCCAACAAUGCUGGGCACUGCCAGUUCCUGUUUCUUUCUGGAAAAAAACCAAUCGAGAGGAUGGGUAGGAACAGCCCGAGGCCGCUGCACCCUUUCCUCCCGCCCGCCCCUCCUCCCAGGGAGGAGAAACACCAUCUCCCACCCCUCUGGGUGCCAAAAAAGUUGAAAUCUGAGGAUAUAAAUCCCCUCCUGAGCACUUCUGCUGCACCAGACACCCCGUAAAAACCCCGCUAGUGGUUUUCCUUUCAGCAGACGCCCCCCAAAACCCGGCUGCGGGGGCGCACAGCGGGUCCCU